UCGGCCAUUGCCUCUCACCUAGGCUCUCGCUGGGGCAGGGAUCCCAGAGUGCCGUUGCUUUUUACUCUUCUUUGGCUCUCCGUUUGGGCCCAUUAUCGUCGUGUUUUCAUGAUUAGCGCUCCGCGUGCUAAAGAACGAGGCCGCGUUUUACGUUUUUGGUUGGGGGCGGAUUUCUGCCUCCCCCAGCUUUUCAUCGAGCCUCCUUGUCCAACGGCACCUCGUUUGUUCGUAUAUGGGGAUGAUCCGCUCGAGUAUCUUCGGUAUCUGUGCGAUGAUCCGACUCUGGGCGAAGAGAUCGUUGACGAACACUUCUGGUUCAAGUAUUUUGAGUGGGUACGAGGGGAUGAUUAGUGCUGUCCCCGACUUCACUCUAAUCUAGGGCAUACUUGUCCUUGUAUGGACAGAAAGGGACGGCGAAAAGAGAAGAAAAUUCAAACCGGAUUUGAUGUUAAUUAAGGAGAAAACAAAA